UUUUAUUUUUUAAUAGAACAUAACUUAAUACAUAGUGAUAGAGUUCUUAAUAGAGCAUAAGUUAAUACAUAAGGAAGUACAGUGUCCAAAGUGCAAUAAUAAAUUAGAACUUAAUACAAGUAAUUUCUCAUUUCGCUGCCGGAAAGUAUUUUACGAGAAAAAUAAGCACAAAAAGUACGUCAAGAGACAAUGUUCCUUCAAAGCUUCUGCAAAAGUUGAUACAUGGUUCGACAUAAUUUUUUAGUUUUAAUUUUUUGAGUUCCUCGGGUCAAAAAAGGUUUUUAACAAAUUCGGAGUUCUGUUGAUAGUUCUGGGUAGCUCUUCAAGAGUUCUAACGAUUAUUAUUAAGACUCGAAGCGCUAAAACCAAAACUGAAAGAGUUCUAGCGAUUUUUCAUUUCCAGAAGAGAAAUUUUCUAAUUUCUUCUAAACGAAGAAAACUUUUUAAUAUUUUCUUGAGGGUUCUGAAUAGCGCUACAAGAGUUCCAUCGAAAAGUAUUAGAACUUUUUUGGCUCCGGCUUGAAAUAAAAAAGUUAUGACCAAUUUUCCUUUCGCAAAAACGUGAAGUUGGCGGCACCCCAUAUCUUCAAAUCCUGAUUUUUUAUAUUUAAUCGCCGGAACUCUUUUCAAAACGUAUCAGGAACUCUAGAACUCUUUGGGGAAGAGCCAGAACUCUAUUAAUUAUAUCAAAAUUUUGCAAUUGGGGUGCUAACUUCACAGAGGUGCUUUUGCGAACACUCUGGAAUAGAACCUGUAAGUUUAUCGUACUCGAGAAAUGAGCACCGCGGGUACUGAAAAAGAGCCGAAUAAUCGCUGAGUUUAAAAAAAAAACACACGAUGUAUCGAAUGAGAACAAUCGAUAAUAAAGUGUCCCAGAUAUCACAUGACAAUCGAGGAUAGUAAGAUAAAUAAAUUGUACUAUUUUUAUCAUACAGAAACUCGGAAUUAUAUUUUCAAUCAUUUCAACAUCGUUCCAGAUUUCACGCUGCUUCAGCGAUACGUCUAUCAGGCUAUCAACAUUUCCCGGAUGCGAUUUAAAAAGCUUGCAACAUUCAAACUCUUGAAUAAAUAAUAUCACGAUAAAGCGACGGUACAAUCCGAAUAUUCAAGCUUUGAAUAUUCAAUCACCCCCAAGCCAGUGAUCGAUUGAUCAAAUUUAUUCGAAACAUUAAAUAUCCAAAAUUGUAGAAUUUAUUCGAAAUUCGAGGAUGGAAUAAUCUAGCUAUCUUCCUGCAUGUUCCUGAUCACGAUCUGAAUCGGUGCUUUUCGCCGUCCAACGACAUUACCUCUUCUCUCUCGUCUCUCUCGUAUAAUAUAAUACUCCCGAAACAUAUUUCGGUGCGGGGUGAACGAACCGAAGGAAAGCGACGCGCGACGUGUCCGUCGUUACAAUGCACUGUGCAUUGUAAACGAGCCGGGCGACAAGUGUGCACUCUCGGCAGUAGUGUUGACCUUUCAAUGAUGCUAAGCCGCCGCCGCCCGCCCGCUCGCCACCGCUCGCCGUUUUGCCAUUACACGCUCGGCCGACGCAGAACACAUGUGGGCCACAUCAGUCAGGUCGGCCGGGGAUUUGAUCGUUUUCAAAAGCGCGCUAAACACCCGGAUAUUUUACAGCUUUCGAGUGCAACCGCGUCUCCUACACGCUUUGUCACCUCACGAUUUUUACGCUCGCCACAAACGCUCGGCGAAUGACCGGGGCGCGUUCUGUCGUUUCAACGGUAACAAUUAUCUCACUGUUGAGGCGGGCAAGUGGACAUCCGAUUAAACGUCAUGGUUUCCAAAUGGAUUACCGUUAUAUUUUUAUCCGCGUAGGACGUUGAUGGCUUUGUAGCAUCUGGUUUACAAAUGAAACCAAAGGUUGUAAAUUGUUUGCGAAAAUAUAUAAAUGAACGAUUCAAAAAUCGCCGCGAUACAGAUUUAGCGGUUUAGCGUAUAUGUAGCGACAGUUAUUGCUCUGCCAAGAUAAUUGACAGAUGUCUCUACAAUUAGGCGUCAAACAUCGCUAUAAAUACAUUAAGAUUACAACCGUCGAUUUCAAAACAUUCCGCUUUUGGAUCACGUAAAGCCAAAAACUGUUUCUUCAAAAAUAGAAAUACAAAAUCACGCGAAUAGAGCGCAGAAAUAAGAAUUUGAUGCGGGCAAAAGUUGAAUAGUUCAUCUUGGCGAAAAUCAUCGUCGAUGUAAGUCCUGUGAAGCAAUGUAAGUUCUUCAAGGUGUUCUUAGGACACGCCGUACAAUGUAGUUGGCCAACAAGAAAUUAUUUUUGCAGCGACAAUGUUAUACAAGCGCCUCGCUAAUUGUAAGUUAAGCGCGGUCUUUCGCGCUCGCUCGCACGCGCACUCAUAUGUAAAAUUAUUUCAUUUUUCAUUGCGACGCGGUCGACAUGAACCGCCAUUUCGACGUGACGACGGCAUCGCUGCGAGAAACUGGAGUAACGUGUCGGACGGAGUUCGUAAACGACGGAGGUCGCGACAAGUUCGAGGUUAAUCGUUCGUUUGGCAAGGCUCGCCUGUUGCCGCGCCGUGCGCCUCCAAGUUGCCGCCCACGUUAUGUAAGGCUGACUAAAGAGUGCCCGGCAUCGCCUCAUCCUUCUCUCUCGCUCAAAAAGAGCGCGAUAAUUCUCGGCGGGACGAGUCGCGAUGUCCCACGGUGCUUUUCUCUAGCGAAAAAUAGCGAAAAAUUGAGCGAGCGACGAAAAUACAGCCGCGGGAACACGGGUUCGCGCUUAUCGGACGAGGUCGAGGCUCGUCUCCGGAGAAUUCGUAAGCUACACCAUAAAAACAAUGGUAUCCUAUAACUACUCGUCUAACAUCGCAGUCGCGCUUUGUGUCUGCAACUAGAGUACCGCUAACCGACGUUUGCGUAGGGUCUUAUCGCAUUUUCUCUCAUCAAUCAAAGCGACUCUGUAAUCAAGCUAAGGUUGACUCAUUUCAGCAAUUUCGGGAUGAACUUACAUUAAAAAAUUUAAGCUUGGGAGAAAAGCCACUGUCGCUGCAAAUUCUCGUUUAAUCACACUUUCUCUUACAUUUCUUUUCCGAAAUUUCGAAUUCCAAGAAGAGAAAGAGAGGGAAACCGUGACGAAACCGUAGCACGUAAACUACAGCCGCGCUCGUCAGAAGCGUAAAACCGAACGAUUAUUUCGACAAGUGUUUCGAGACGUGGAGCGCGUUUUAGCGCUUUCGUGCGUCGGCGACAGAGAACGAAUAAACGAGCGACACGCGUGAAAGGGAAGAUGAGCGCUAUAUCGAGCUACGUGUACACGUGCGCGCGGAUAUUCGUCGUAUACAUAUGUAUAGGCUGACGAACCGCUCACAUGAACGGAGGGUCCAACGGCUGAUACGGCCCCGAUGAAUAAUUCACGAAGAACGAGUGAGCGUGAAGCCACACGCGGGGCCCCAUGAUCAGGCUCUCCACCGUCGCGAGGAUAGGACGUGGGCCCGCGCAACCUUUACAUGGCCAUUAUGGAGCUGUGUUAUUAUUCUCUCCUCGCGCCGAAAUAUUCCCGCGCGUCGCGGAUGCCGAAAACGCCCGGGGAUGUAGGGGAGGAGGACUUCCCGCCGAAUUUCGGGGAAUCGGUUUCGCUACCGCGAUGAAGACGCACGUGCAAUCUGAUCGUCAUUACGGUCCCGAUGCGUGGUAUUGACGAUUAAGGCAGACGAGGUGUAUCGUUAAAAGGAAGGAGAUAUAUUUGAAUAUACGAGAGUGCGUUCCGCUCGUUAACGUUCCAUUAUGCGUUUCCGAGACGAGUGCCACUGAAUGAAAAUUAUGAUUUGCGAAUACCGCGACCGUCCGAGGCAAAUAAACGUAUUACGACAUUCAAAGCGGGACACCGAAAACUCGAGCUUUCCGUCUCGCGACUUUCGGUCGCGUCAUCUAAAUACGCGUCGGUUCUUUGAUCGACGCGCUUUCUUGGGUGUCUUAUUGGGGGUAUAUAAAUAAAGUCUACCCCUCGCGUAACGUGCAUGUUAUUUACUGACUAUUUUUAUUCCAGUUCAAAGUAGGGUCCCGACUGGCAAACUCGCGUGGUACGUCAUGUUUUGCAUUCGAGAGUGUAUUUCUCUAUUCGUACUCUAUUCUUUAUAGAUGCUUUAAAUUUUGUGCAGAGAGAAGAAUAAAGUAACAAGUAUAAGACGAGAAUCUCAAAUCUGUAUUAUAAAUUGAUAUUGUACACGUUCAGGAGAUGCGAGAGUUAUAAAACAAAUCAAAAAUAUUGACAUACCAUAUUGUCAUGUAAUUUUUAGAACGUCUCACGUAAGCAUACGUCACAAACUUCUUGAUCUGAUACUAUCGAUAAAAGCAACAUAAAUAAUAAAGUGCAAAUUGUCGUAGCGGCAGGAAAUAUUCACAACUUCUUUCUUUCGACUCGCGAGCUCGAGAAUGACGAUUCUAACUGACACGGCAAUGUUGGAAGCGUUUAAUCCGACACCGUCUGCCAACACCAACGCAGCAAGAUAAGAGAGGAAAGGAGAGACGAUGGGAGGGAAUGAGCAAGAACGAGCCGAAGUGUGCAUUGAGCCACGGAUUACCGCAGUCGUGUACUCAGUUUUCAGACUAACAGAUGAAGGGAAAAGGCAAAAGGCUUUUUACACGGAAGGAUGCGGAAGCGGGAGUUUUCCAUGCGGAAGCCCUGUCGAGUUGAAUAGCGAAUCUUGAAUCUACGUUACUCACGAAGACGGGAAAGAAGACGAGGCGGGAGCGGACGGCAGGGACGGAAAAAGAAGGCGAAGCAAUUUAAUUUUUCUGCAGCGCGCGCGGAAGGUUCUAUAUCGCAUCGGAGGAAGAGACGCGACGUGUCGCGGUUUAUUACAUUUUUCCUCUCCUAGUCAACGAACUAAUGGACCGUUGGAAAUAGUGCCGAGGCUAUAAGCUUCUAUUCAUCCUUGGAAUAAAAUUGGCACCAUCUCGCCGGCAGUGUCGUCUCACUUCGACUCUCGGCUUCCCGUCUCGUCAGGUAGAGACGACCUAUUACAUCGCCGCGCGUCAAAUAUCUCACGUUCAAGAAUCUUCCGGUAAUUUCCGGAGAAAUAAUCGAAGUGAUUUCGCAUCUCACGCAUCCUUCAAAUGCGAACAUUUAUUUACCUUGUAAACCAGUACUUGGAACGUUACAAAUUUCGCUUUAUGCCAACAAUAUUGUUAAAUCGUUCUGAUGAUUGAUAACUCUCUAGAUAUCAAAAUUAUUUCACAAAUCAUGUCUGUGUGUCACGUUUUAAAAAUUAUUCAACACGAAUUGAAUAACAAAUUGUCGAUUCAAUUGCGCACCGCAUAGUUAGAGCCGCGACGUGAAAACAAAAGAAUGCAGCUUUGCGAAGAAUUAAAAGUGAGCUACGAGAGGAUGGGAGACUGUCCGGAAAACUCCAACUUUCCAAAUCCCACGAUCCAAUCAUACAUGACACCCAAGCGAGAAAUUAUCUACGAGACAAGAGAGGAAACGAGCAAUAAAACAUUUAU